GCGGGGAUGCCGGAGCGGUCAAACGGGAUGGGCUAAGGACCCAUUGGCUUAGUGCCUACGCAGGNNUACGCAGGUUCGAAUCCUGUUCCCCGCA
rnacentral:tRNA from 1 species